GUGGGCAUGGUGUCACGUGCCUAUAGGCCCAGCUACUUGGGAAGCUGAGGUGGGAGGAUCGCUUGAGUCCUGGAGUUCUGGGCUGUAGUGCGCUAUGCCAAUCGGGUGUCUGCACUAAGUUCAGCAUCAACAUGGUGACCUCCUGAGAGCAGGAGACCACCAGGUUGCCUAAGGAGGGGUGAAUCAGCCCAGGUGGGAAACGGAGCAGGUCAAAACUCCUGUGCUGAUCAGUAGUGGAAUCACUCCUGUGAAUAGCCACUGCACUCCAGCCUGGGCAGCAUAAUGAGACCCCAUCUCU
rnacentral:SRP_RNA from 1 species